GUACGGCGAGUGAAGCGGUAAAAGCUCAAAUUUGAAAUCUGGUACUUUCAGUGCCCGAGUUGUAAUUUGUAGAAUUUGUCUUUGAUUAGGUCCUUGUCUAUGUUCCUUGGAACAGGACGUCAUAGAGGGUGAGAAUCCCGUUUGGCGAGGAUACCUUUUCUCUGUAAGACUUUUUCGAAGAGUCGAGUUGUUUGGGAAUGCAGCUCAAAGUGGGUGGUAAAUUCCAUCUAAAGCUAAAUAUUGGCGAGAGACCGAUAGCGAACAAGUACAGUGAUGGAAAGAUGAAAAGAACUUUGAAAAGAGAGUGAAAAAGUACGUGAAAUUGUUGAAAGGGAAGGGCAUUUGAUCAGACAUGGUGUUUUUUGCAUGCACUCGCCUCUCGUGGGCUUGGGCCUCUCAAAAAUUUCACUGGGCCAACAUCAAUUCUGGCAGCAGGAUAAAUCAUUAAGAAUGUAGCUACUUCGGUAGUGUUAUAGCUUUUUGGAAUACUGUUAGCCGGGAUUGAGGACUGCGCUUCGGCAAGGAUGUUGGCAUAAUGGUUAAAUGCCGCCCGUCUUGA
rnacentral:rRNA from 1 species